rfam:Triticum aestivum genome assembly, contig: Triticum_aestivum_CS42_TGACv1_scaffold_057808_1BS
GGAUGCGAUCAUAGCAGCACUAAAGCACCGGAUCCCAUCAGAACUCCGAAGUUAAGCGUGCUUGGGCGAGAGUAGUACUAGGAUGGGUGACCUCCUGGGAAGUCCUCGUGUUGCAUUCC